rnacentral:tRNA from 1 species
CCUGGUGGCUCAGAGGGUAAAGCGUCUGCCUGCAAUGCAGGAGUCCGGGUUUGAUUCCUGUGUCAGGA